UUGGGCCCCACCCUAACCACAGUUUGCAGGUUUCACAAGAUGACCAAAAUAUAAAUCUUAUCAAACACAAAGAAACCUUUGUCCGAAUGCUGUGUGGUACCUAUGGAAGCAACUCCGGUGGUAAACAACUUGAAUAGGCAAUUUCAGCACUUUUGCAAACGAUUCUGGUCCACAAGAAGCUUUUUUGCAUCCAAGUAUUACCAAUAUUUAGAAGCACCUGGCGUGCUCUCUCACCUCUUUCUUUUCCUGGAUUAAUGUUUUAGUACCGAAACUAUGACUACUAUCUCUACACAUGUAUUCCCUCAUAAAGCAGCCACUGGGAGAGCGCUAUAAACUUCGACUGCUGUUCAGACAUCCCAGGCGAAAGUUGGGGAAGGAGGAGGGGAGAAGCAUGAUGUAUUGAAAUAGAAAGAACUGAUCAAAAGAAUGAUAUACCCAGAUGUUAUCACCAGCUGAAGAAAAACUGUAACGUGGUGGGAAAGACAGUCACUACCAGGGAAGGAUUGCACUCUUCAGGAGUUUUGUUCCAUGGGGAAAAAAAUGAUUCCCUAGGUGGAGAAAAAAAAAUAGGAUCAAUGGCUAUUUGAGAUAGAUAAACCACAAGAAAAAGAAGUCCACUCUGCUGCUGAGCCUGUUUCCAAGAAAUCCCUGACAUAUCUGCAAACCCAGUGAAUCGGAGAAGCCACAUAGUGGACCAUCAGGGGUUCAAACAGGAAGCCAUGAGGAGACUGAGGGAGUGGAAAGUUACCAGCCAGAACAAAGAUAACCAAUUAGAGCCUUUAAAACUCAGAGGCCAGGCAGGUCUGGGAAAAACAGAACCAUAAAAGAAUUUUGAGAAAGGGAUUGAC